rnacentral:rRNA from 1 species
UACGUAGGGUGCGAGCGUUAAUCGGAAUUACUGGGCGUAAAGCGUGCGCAGGCGGUUCGCCAAGUCAGGUGUGAAAUCCCCGGGCUUAACCUGGGAAUUGCGCUUGAAACUAGCGGGCUUGAGUGUGGGCAGAGGGGGGUGGGAAUUCCACGGUGUAGCAGUGAAAUGCGUAGAGAUGUGGGAGGAACACCGAUGGCGAAGGCGGCAUCCUGGACCGACACUGACGCUGAGGAGCGAAAGCCAGGGGAGCAAACGGG